rnacentral:rRNA from 1 species
UACGAAGGGUGCUAGCGUUGUUCGGAAUUACUGGGCGUAAAGCGCGCGUAGGCGGCUUUUCAAGUCAGGGGUGAAAUCCCACGGCUCAACCGUGGAAUUGCCUUUGAAACUGUAAAGCUCGAGUGUCGGAGGGGAUAGCGGAAUUGCCAAUGUAGAGGUGAAAUGCGUAGAUAUUGGCAGGAACACCGGUGGCGAAGGCGGCUAUCUGGACGACAACUGACGCUUAGGCGCGAAAGCGUGGGGAUCAAACAGG